rnacentral:lncRNA from 1 species
AUCGUGACCUAACCUUUACUCUCCCACUUAGCCCGACCGUGAUUUAACAUUUCCCCUGGAAGUCUGGUCAAAAUGGGCUGGGGGCUUGGCUUGGAACAGUUAGAGCAAUCUCGAGGCAAGCCGUGUCAACAUGCAAACGUCUGUUGUGCCAACCGUCCCAGAAUUUAACCUCUUCGACAAACCCACGAACACGGAUGUUGAAACACCAAAGAUAAUAGUCUGAAUUAAUCCAGUGACGUAGCUAUACUACGCAGCACAAGAGGUUACGGAAAGGGGCGAGUGGUGACGAAUGCUAACAGACCAAGACCACCGGAUAUGCAUUAUUUGUAGCACUGUUACCAUAGUAACGCUUUGUCUAAAGAGUAAUCAUCUUGACGACAUGAUGCUGAUCUGCUACGCAACGAGCUAUCCAUUAUGUCAUAUCUCCAUAAGAGUAUUAGUGUAAGAGUUCUUUAAUGCGAUAAUCAAGGCCAUGGACUUAGUCACAUCCUGAUAUCACGUUAUCUGUGACAUUGUGGUGGCAACUGGAAAUGCGCAAUUGCAUUUUUGCUCGUAAACAAAAUUAAGAAGAAAAAAAUUCCCCUUGACCUCAUCUAAAACAAGUAUCCGAGCAGUCCAUUCAGAAAAAGGGGACCCAAAAUGAAAACUCAUUAAAUGGAAGAUGGUUUUAAUGUCAUCACGCCAACUGAACUGACUCAUCGGCUGGGAAAAUGAAA